UUAAUAUUUUCAUUGAACUUUGAUUGUAAGUUUGGCUAAACUUGAAAACUUACUGAACUAUCUUCACUUUGUGAAGAUUUAUUCCUGAGAUUUUGACGAGAUAUUUAGGAAAUAACACCUUUGAUGGAAACAGCUUAACAACGCCCAAGGAUUAAAUGACUGACUCAAGGCAAACAAGAAACAUAAAGACUCUUUGGUGCAAUGGUAUUCUAUUCUCCAUCUCAGGAUUGAAGUUCUUAUACUUAUACUCAAAUAUUAUUAUGUUUUUCUCACUUAGAGAAAAUGGUUAAAAUAAUAAACUUGAUUAUACAGAAUUAUUGUUUUAUCAGAGUGGAGAGUGCUUUACUUUCUUUGCAAGGACAAAAAUGGCUAGCUGUCCAAACAAAGGUGAUGCACCUUCUUUUAAGGAUUACCAUAUGGUGUCUAGAUAUAUCUUUGAAGGUUCAGUAUCACUUUAUUUUGGUAGGCAUCAUGAUCCAUAUUUAUAUAAGCGUUGUGAAUGGAUAGUUGUAUCUUCAAUGAAGGAUGUCUCAUAUUGGGUGUACACAUAGUGGAGACUCUGAUGCAUCUUACAUUAUUGAGACGCAAUUCUUCUAACUGUUCUAGCCUCGCUAUAGCAAAUAAACAGAAUUCUUGGAAAUUUGCAUAUCAUUUUUCCUUUAUUAGCAGACUACAUAAUAGUCCUAGGAAUGUUUUCAGGGAAUACUUCUUAGACUAAACAAAUUUUAGGACAUAGGACUUUGGAAUUUCAACACCUCAGAUAAUGUUUAUUCAAUGCUGAAAUUUUUAGAAUAUCACAUGUUAUUCAUGCAGGUUUUAAUAAGCCCACCGCUAGAAUCAUAUCGAGAGUGCAACAUAAGCUAAUGCUCCUAAGAGAGUCCUCGGGGCAUAAAACUCCCUGUUGUCAAUAGCCAAUCCAUAUAUUCGAGGCAAAUUCUAUAAAUAGUUGACAUGAGUCAUGGUUAAUCUCAUGAAGUGCUAAUUCCUCAGUAGUGGAUUUUUCAUUUAUAUGAAUCUAUGUUUUAAUAUAACAAUCAAAUAGUAAUAGGUUGGUUUCGUAUUUGAGUAAUCAUCGGAUGAGUGCGAUAUCUAUAAAUUUGUUUUGUAUUGAAAUCAGGAUCAGCACCGGUAUCUUGCUGGUAUAAUCUUAGCUGCUUCUAGAUAUGUAGUUAGUCAAAAGGAGUGUGCAGACACAGAAAUACUACAUAAGUAUUACUCUCCGUCUCUUUAUAUUGCAUGUAUUAUCAUUCAUAUUUUAUGAUGAAUUUUAUUGGUGA